rnacentral:rRNA from 1 species
GUGGGGAAUUGUUCGCAAUGGGCGCAAGCCUGACGACGCAACGCCGCGUGGAGGAUGAAGACCUUCGGGUCGUAAACUCCUUUCGACCGAGAUGAAGAGCCUCCGACCUAAUACGUCGGAGGCCUGACAGUAUCGAGGGAAGAAGCCCCGGCUAACUCUGUGCCAGCAGCCGCGGUAAUACAGGGGGGGCAAGCGUUGUUCGGAAUUACUGGGCGUAAAGGGUUCGUAGGUGGCUUACUAAGUCAGACGUGAAAUCCCUCAGCUUAACUGGGGAACUGCGUCUGAUACUGGAAAGCUUGAGUGCAGGAGAGGAACGCGGAAUUCCAGGUGUAGCGGUGAAAUGCGUAGAUAUCUGGAGGAACACCGGUGGCGAAGGCGGCGUUCUGGACUGCAACUGACACUGAGGAACGAAAGCCAGGGGAGCAAACGGGAUUAGAAACCCCAGUAGUCC